CCGUAGCAGGACGCUUUACAGGAAAGGAUAACUCACGGAGCGAGGGGUCGGGAGCGCCAGGAGGCGAAGACCAGAGGAACACGUCAGGAGACGUUCACAAGGAGAGGGACCGCAACACGGAGUGUUGAUGCUAAUGGAAAAACAGGGCAGGUUGACAGCAAACAGGGAACGUAGAGCCCUUUACGGGUCAGGGUCAAGAAAAAAGGCGACAGUUUACACUGCCGCCUUUUUUCUUUGCUUGCUU
rfam:Enterobacter cloacae S611 EDP2.NODE_1876, whole genome shotgun sequence.